GCGGACGGGUGCGUAACACGUAGCUACUUGCCCCACAGUGGGGGAUAACCCGGGGAAACCCGGGCUAAUACCGCAUACACCCGAGAGGGGAAAGCCGAAAGGCGCUGUGGGAUAGGGCUGCGGCGUAUCAGGUAGUUGGUGGGGUAACGGCCUACCAAGCCGAUGACGCGUAGCUGGUCUGAGAGGAUGAUCAGCCACACUGGAACUGAGACACGGUCCAGACUCCUACGGGAGGCAGCAGUGGGGAAUCUUGGGCAAUGGGGGAAACCCUGACCCAGCAACGCCGCGUGGAGGAAGACGCCCUUCGGGGUGUAAACUCCUUUUGCAGGGGAAGAGAGGGACGGUACCCUGCGAAUAAGCUCCGGCUAACUCCGUGCCAGCAGCCGCGGUAAUACGGGGGGAGCUAGCGUUACUCGGAAUCACUGGGCGUAAAGGGUGCGUAGGCGGCUUAGUAAGUUGGGAGUGAAAUCCCACGGCUCAACCGUGGAACUGCUUCCAAAACUGCUAAGCUAGAGUCCGGGAGGGGCCGAGGGAAUUCCUGGUGUAGGGGUGAAAUCCGUANAGAUCAGGAGGAAUG
rnacentral:rRNA from 1 species